UGCCAGCAGCCGCGGUAAUACGAACCGUCCAAACGUUAUUCGGAAUCAUUGGGCUUAAAGGGUGCGUAGGCGGUGCAGUCAGUCGGGUGUGAAAUCCCUCGGCUUAACCGAGGAACUGCGCCCGAUACUGCUGUGCUUGAGGGAGACAGAGGUGAGCGGAACUGAUGGUGGAGCGGUGAAAUGCGUUGAUAUCAUCAGGAACACCAGUGGCGAAAGCGGCUCGCUGGGUCUCUUCUGACGCUGUGGCACGAAAGCUAGGGGAGCGAACGGGAUUAGAUA
rnacentral:rRNA from 1 species